UCCCUGAUAUUCCAGUGGCCAAGACUCUGUGCUCUGAAUGCAGGAGGCCUGGGUUUGAUCCCUGGUCAGGGAA
rnacentral:tRNA from 1 species